GAUGAACGCUGGCGGCGUGCCUAAUACAUGCCAGUCGAGCGAACAGACGAGGAGCUUGCUCCUCUGACGUUAGCGGCGGACGGGUGAGUAACACGUGGAUAACCUACCUAUAAGACUGGGAUAACUUCGGGAAACCGGAGCUAAUACCGGAUAAUAUAUUGAACCGCAUGGUUCAAUAGUGAAAGACGGUUUUGCUGUCACUUAUAGAUGGAUCCGCGCCGCAUUAGCUAGUUGGUAAGGUAACGGCUUACCAAGGCAACGAUGCGUAGCCGACCUGAGAGGGUGAUCGGCCACACUGGAACUGAGACACGGUCCAGACUCCUACGGGAGGCAGCAGUAGGGAAUCUGCCGCAAUGGGCGAAAGCCUGACGGAGCAACGCCGCGUGAGUGAUGAAGGUCUUCGGAUCGUAAAACUCUGUUAUUAGGGAAGAACAAAUGUGUAAGUAACUAUGCACGUCUUGACGGUACCUAAUCAGAAAGCCACGGCUAACUACGUG
rnacentral:rRNA from 1 species